rnacentral:rRNA from 1 species
GAUUUUAGUCAAUUCUAUGAGUUUAACUAGGCCCAAAUAUUUGUUUCCUAAAACUUACUACUACUUAUUGUUUUAUUUAAAUCCCCUGUUUAUAUAUAGAUUUAACUCAAAAUAGAGCCAAAGCCAGAUUAAAACUUUCCCUAAAAUUUAAUCCAGAAGGACCUUAAAAGUAUGGAUAAAAACUCGGAACCACUUUAGCGCAAGUAUUUAACGACCGCUUUGAAAUUUACCCGCCAAGAUUCAAACUUUCCCUAA